UUAUUUAGAGACGGUAAUUAUUUGGUAUUUUAAGGGUUUAAGUUAGUAGUAACUUUGGUGAAUUAGUUGGUAAGAAUAUUGAGCCUAUUAUGACAAUUAAAAACAUAGCUCAAUUAGAAGGUGGUAUAUAAGCAUAACUCUUGUGAGAAUUAAGGUAAAUCUUCAUUAUUCAUUUCACAAAAACAUAAGAGGUAGUGAGAGAAAGUGGAUCAAGAGGAUAGAAGAGGAAGCUAAAGAAAGAGAGAGAGGUUGGGGUUUGAAGAGCUAGUAGCUAAACUGAAGCCAAAAUUAUGAUUCUUGAAGACUAAAGGUAAGGGAGAUGGUUUCCUUUCAUAGCUAAGUUAUAAUCUAUUAUUUUCAAUUAUGGGUUUAAGUGCUUUUAUGUUUAUUGUGACUUUUGUGAUUUUUGAAUGAUGAAAUUUGUGCUCCUAAUUCAAGUGAAUUUGUGAGUAUGAUAAACUUCAUGAAAUUGUUGUGUUAUGUGCUUAAACUUCAUAGUUGUUGUUGUUGUUAAGUGAUUUUGAUGAUUUUUGUUUAUUUGAGUGUAAAUCGUGAAUUUGUGAGUGAUUGUUGUUGAAACAUGUUUAAAUUCACUUCAUGAAUAUUUGUUUAUGUUUGUAUGUUGAUGGGGUUUGAAUUGGUGUGGUUGUUUGUGAAGUUUGAAUGAAAAAUGAACAUAAUGAUGAUUUUGGUAAAAAUUGAUGUUAUGAUUCCAUGUUGGUUGUUGUUUUGAUUAUCUUUUUAUGUAUAUAAACUAAUGUACAAGUUUUGGGAACGAAUUUGGGUCAAAGGGGAUUAAAAACAAGGAUUUUGGGUGAAAAUUGGAGAGUUCCCGAGAGGGAACAACCAAGAACAGGGGACCUGUUCUGGUGUAACUCGUUGUGGUGAGUUGCCCAAUACAAAACCCCAUGUUAGUAUGAGGUUUUGAAUUCAUGUUAGUAUGUAGAAUGUGAAUGAAUCAAUGAUGAUUGAGUGUUUAAUAUGAUGAAUGUCUUGGUGUGGGUUGUUCCCCGUCUUUUAUGUAAAAUGUGAUUGUGAAACUUUAACGUUUCCUUAAAGUGUUAUUUGUUGAUAAUGAACUAUGAUGAUGUUUGGUGAUGAUUAUAAGGAUGUUUGAUGAUUCUUUUGGUGAUUUUAACUUGAUGAUGACUUGUUGAUUGUAUGGAUGUAAAUAUUUGAUAAUACAAAUAUUGGUGAAAAAUAUAAUUCGUGAUGAUUAUUAUGUUAAUAUAGUUUGGUGAGUUGUUCAUUGUCAAGUCCUUACUUGAAGUUCAUGCAUUCAUAAUCAUAUUGAGGUGAUUUGAAGAACAUAAUUGGUGAUGUUUAUUACAUAGUUUCUGCAAAACAUAAUUGGUGAUGUUUAUUAUGUUGGUGUAUUCAUUAACGGUAAAAUUAUCUUCGGAAUCCUAAUGGUACCACAUGCAUCUAGAGAAGAGUAUAGAACAUUGCAUACAUUUGAUAUUGGUGAAAUUGUGUCAUACUUGACUGUGAUUUCGUGAUUAUGUGCAUUUGUGAAACUUGGUGAAUUAUGUGAAAUGUGAUUGAUGAAUUAUACGAAUUUGGUGAUCUAUGUGAUCAGUGAAUAUUGUGAAUUGUAUAGAAAUGUGCACAUGAUAAUGUUUGUUAUUCUUGGUGAUGCUUAUACACUUGGUGAAUCUAUUUGAUGAUAAUUAUUUUGGUAAUAGUAAUGAGGUGAGAAUUAUAUAUAUAUAUAUAUAUAAUUUUCUAACACUUUCACAAAUAGACUCAUACUUUCUAAUUCAUGAAGAUAGUUGCAUUAUCUAGGCUUAUGCUAGGUAUUUGGUGUGUAUACUUGGUGUGUAUCUAAUCAACACACGCUUGUACAAUUAGACCAUACAAUUGGUCAUUGCUUCAUCUUAGGUAUUCUUUUAUGAUCACGAAACUAAAUAAAUAGUGCUUGAACGCAAAUAUAAAGAUAUUAUCCUCAAAAUAUUCAAUCAUUUUUUUUAUUAUCAAUUUUCAUUAUUAUUAAAAAAUGUUUAUUUAUGUGUGUGCGCACAACACUAUUUUUUGAUCUUGCGGCCAUAUUAGAAUACUUUUGCUCACCUACCGGCUAUCUAAUUAGAUUGUAUUUUAAUUUUUUUUUUCUAUUCUAUAAGCAGAACGAAUCAGGUGUUGGAAAAUGGAAAUAUUCUCGCCAUUAUAUCCUUCCGAUUGAUAUUCAAAUUUUAUUCUUAUACGAGUAUCACCUAAUAUUGUACUAGUCUACGACUGUUGCAUACUUGCAUGUAAGAAUUGCAAGUAAUGUUGGUGGUGGUUAUGUAUAGUUGCAUAAUUUUUGUCUAAAUGCAUUAGACUCCCGGUGGUUUGGUCGUCUCUAGUUCCAUUACAUUUUUUUUUUUGCAAAAAUAAAUAAUAAAAUUUAUUGAUAACAAGUCAUGGCACAAGAAAUGUUCUGGACAACCAUAACACAAGAUACAAACCAGUAUUACUGCUCAAAACAUGUCAUUCUAAAAGAUACAUAAGAAACUAAAGUUAUAUAGUGAUGCAUUUGUUUAAAACUCCUCAUUCAAGGGACCAAGACACAAUACAUCCUAUGUGUAUCCUUAUCCUUAUUAUCUAACCAUUCUUAACAUUCCAAACCUAAUUUGCAAACUCUAACCCUAAAAAAUUGGUGACAAUGUUGCCUUAAUGAUUGUCAUUAGUGUUCCAACCACCUAUCUCACAUUACAACACAAAUUUGAAUUUCAACAAUGCAUUAAGUAUAUUUUUUUCCCAAUAAAUUAGUUUGUAAUUAAUGACAUGGUAGAAAUGUUUAUUUUCCAUAAACAUCCAGCUAUUGAAUGACUUUACAGCUUCCCUAGAUACAAACUCAUAAUAAUAAGAUAUGUAUUUUUGAAGCGGGUGUUACAAAAUUUAUGCUGAAGUCAUUCUCCUUCAUUGAACCUGUUGUUCGACCAAACAUGGAAGAGACACCAAAAGCGUAUGAAAUAAAAAAGAAGACGACCAAAAAUUGCAUACUAUAACUAGUAUGUUUGGCACAUCCUAUGACACUUGGUUUUCUUCAUAUUCUUUGUUGUUUUUGUUUGGAACCAGUACCGCGAUUUAAACAUUAAGGAUGAAUGUUAUUAAAAAGUGCAUUUAUCUUCUCUUGAAUUAAUUUGAUACAUAAUUUGAUUGUUUACACGUGAGUUAGAAUCAUGUAGGUCGGUUGUUAUCGAUUUUAGGCAUGUAUUUAAAAUAGUUUGUUAUUUGUGUAUUAGUUAAAUAUUAAAUUUGAUUAAUAUAUAUAUAUAUAUAUAUAUAUAUAUAUAUAUAUAUAUAUAUAUCAUACUUAUAUCUAAUCUUAAUUAACAUUGCUAAUGACUUUGCAAACCCUAAACCUAAAUGAUUUUGGCUCCAAAACAAGGGAGGCCGUUGGAUCUAUCAUUUGGCUAAGCAUGCAUCUCAUCCUUUGAUUUAAUCUGAGUUAGUGCUUUCCUACUCAGCAAGCUGAUUCAAUUUUUAAACUUUCCUCCCACAGCCUUUGCAUUCCCACUACUACAAUAAUGGCAAUUGGUAACACUUGAAAAUUGUAACUAAAUCAAGAAAAAUGUUACUAAUUAAAUUUAGCAACACUUGAACAAUUGUUAGGUAAAGCCUGUGUUACUAAAGUGUUUUAGUUACAUUUUAUAGUACUAUUUGUAACAAUCAAAAAGUGUCGCAAAUGGUACCUUAUUGUAACACUUUUUGUAUCACUUGUAACAAUAAAAAAGUGUUACAUUUAUAAUUUUUGAGGAGUUGUAAAAAGUGUCGCAAAAUUGUCUAAACUAAUUUUUUUUAAUUUACUAAAUUUGUCUUUGCUUAGACUUCAUUCAUAUUUGAAUUAACCAAUAUUAGAUACAAGUUUUAAUAACUAGUUUGAAUUACAUACUCUAUAAAAGUUCCCCUCUUCUCUGUUCUUAUUCUUGCAUGACGAAAAUAAACUAUGCAACACAAUUUAAACUAUACAACACAAUUUGAAUUACAUACAAAAAUGAUUACAAUUAAGUUUUCAUCCAACACAAUUUCCCCUUCUCUUUAAGGUCAUCAAGCUGCACAUGAGAAAUGCAAGCCUUCUCUUUAAUCUCCUUUGUCUUGUGCCGUUGCUUAUCCGCAAUCAUCUUCAUAAUGUUCUGCCUGCAAGAUUGCAGAAUUUGGUGGCUAUCAUAGAUUCAGUGGAGGAUGUCUUCAUAGUGGCCACUAAUCUUAAGGCGUCACAUGAAUAACAAUUCAAUUCUAGUCAGCCUAUUCAAUCAAACACACCAAAAGAAUAAGCAAAGAUAAUUCAUAAAAUAAGAAUAUUAUUAGAAAUUGAGUUCAAUAACACAAAAUCAAUUAAAUUUGGGAUAAACAUAGUACCUUUUUUCUUAAGUUUCUCAUGUUUUGCCUUGCGCUUAGCUGCUUUAUCCAAAUAAUGUUGUUUAUCCUGAUUAAAUAAUAUAAUCAAUUUUAAAAGACAAAUCUUACUUAAGUUGAUCAUAUUGCAUUGCAUGUGUUGUUAUAUACUAGAGGACUUACUUCAUUACUCAUGGAGUUCCAUGCUUUAAUAGCCAUUUUAUUAACACCAGAAUUUCGAUCUACUUCUUUAAAAUUUUUGCCAAACUUAUCCCUGAAAUAUACAUUUUUAACUUAAUAAUAAAUAACGCAAAACUAAAAAAUAUAUUAAGCAAAGAAGAUUUACCAUAAGAGAGAAAAAGAACUCGGCGGAUUCUCAAGCAUAUCAUGAUCCUUCUCAACUUUGAUUUUUUUGGCCUGGUGUUCUUUUGACUUGCUAUAUAAUUUUAAAAUGAAAAUUAAUAUGUCUUUCCUAAAAUUUUCGACUAUAAAGUAAAAAAAGUAAUUAUGUGGAGUGAACUUACCUCUUUUGUAUAUACUGAUCAACGACUUCCUCUUGGUCAACUGAUUUUGGUGCUAGAUGAGGGCUGGAGGCAAUUUUCUCUUGGUCACCAAACACUUCAAACAUGGAGCCCCAUGAGACCUUACGCUUAUUUCCUAUGAUGCGUGGUUUCUCCUGUUGCACUUCAAGGACUUCAGGCUUUGAGCCACUUGGACAUAGGCCCCUAGGCUUCUGUGUGUGUUUCUUCGGUUUCACUUCAGCGAGGUUGUCCACAGGUUGAAUUUCUACAAUAAGCAAAAAAAACAUUAAAAAAAUAUGUUAGUGAUUUAACCAAGUGAAACUAUGCACUAUGAAAACUAGUUUGAAUUACCUUUCUCACGUAGCUUUUUAUGAGUAUUUUCUUCUUUUCCUUCUUUGAUCUCAACAAAAGAACGUGCAUCAGCUUGCACAUCAUUUGUCUUUGGAAUGCUAAACAGGGUCGGAAUUGCUAUUUUCGGGUAACAUUGGUGUAUCUGAGUUAAAACACCACAAAAUAUAUCUUUUUCUUUUGAUGAAAUUGUAAAUUGUGAAGGUGGCAGUAAUAUCUUAUUUGGCCCUAUGUUUAUAGGAUGAAUUUCUUUUCUUAUUCCCAUCUUCACCAAAUCAAGGCGAGCUUUGAGAUGCUCCUUUGAUUUUCCCUCUAUAUUCAAUAGCGUUCCAACUACAAUUUCACAUAUAUUCUUUUCUAUAUGCAUCACAUCAAGAUUGUGACGCUGCACAUUAGUCUUCCAAUAUGGCAACUCAAAGAAUAUACUCUUUUUUGUCCAUGGAUCCUUAUCUUUUCUCUUCCUCUUUCGAAUUUUCCCAAAUUAAUUUUGCCUAUUACCUAAUUUUCGUAAUAUGGCAGACCCUGAUAAUGGAAAUGGUGCAACUCUAAUUUCUUUUUUACCAUCAAAACCUUUUUUAUCUUUUCUCCACCUAUGUUUGGGGUCUAAAAAUCUCCGAUGACUCAUAUAACAUGUCUUUCUACUAUGUUUUAAGUACAUUGAGCAUGUGUCAUAACUACAUACAGGGCAUGCCAACUUUCCACUUGUACUCCAACCUGACAACAUAGGGGGCGUUUGUUUGACGGUUUAAAAUUUCAUUCCUGGGAUUAAUCUUUCCUGGGAAAUAAUAAUGGGCAUCUUAUUCCUGAGUAUUUUUAGAAAAUGGUGUUUGGUAAAUAAUUGUCAGAUUCAUGGGAAUUGUUUGUGAUAGUGGGUAUAUGGGUAGUUAUUUCCAUUUUAGUACCAUUUACAUGGGAAUCUUUUAUUCCCGUCCACUUUCUUUGGGAAUAAAAUCAUGGGUAAGUGGAAGUUAUUUUUUUCCUAGGAAUUCUUUAUUCCCGGGAGUUAUUUUUUUAACUUUGUAACAAACAUAGGAAUCUAUAAUUCCAACCUCCAUGUUCCUGGGAAUAAUUUUUUAAACCAGGAAACAAACACCCCCAUAGUAUACGCAGGCAAGUCACUUAUAGUCCAAAGUAAUGCCGCGUGUGCUUCAAAUAAUUGUUUGCUAGAAGCAUCAUAAACUUCAAACCCUCUCUCCCAUAACUCUUUUAACUCAUCAAUUAGAGGUUCCAAAUAGACAUCAAUAUUUCUCUUCGGGGAAGAAGGACCGGGAAUAAGUAAAGAUAGCAUCAAGUAAGGUUGUUUCAUACACUCCCAUGGAGCCAAGUUAUAAUUCAUUAAAACUACCGGCCAAAUAUUAUAUUUGCUGCCCAUAGUUUUGUAAGGAUUAAAUCCAUCACUCGCUAACCCAAGCCUUACAUUUCGAGGAUCAGAUGCAAAAUUCGUAUGUAGAGAGUCAAAUGUUUUCCAGGCAAUAGAAUCUGCUGGAUGCCUUAGUUUUCCAUCUUUAGUCCGACCUUCAUGAUGCCAUUUCAUUAAAUGAGCAGUUUUUGAAGACAUAAACAACUUCUUGAUUCUUGGUUUUAAAGGAAAAUAUCUCAAAACUUUAGCUGGAAUGGGAGGUGAAGUUACCUUGCAAGGUACUUUUCUGUUAGAUUUUGGAACCUCACGUUUUUUGUAUCUAGAAAGACCACACUUAGGACAUGUAUCUUCAUUCUCGUAUUCCUUCCGAUAUAGGAUACAAUCAUUAGGACAAGCAUGAAUUUUCUCAUAACUAAAACCUAAGUCCUUAAUGAUAUACUUGCAAUCUUGGAAAGUUGAUGGUAAACAAGAGUUUUCAAGAAGCAAUUCAAUUAAUAGUUGUAGCAACAUAUUAAAUGACAAGUUGCUCCAACCAUAAAGAUUCUUAAUGUGCAACAAACGAACAAUGAUCGAUAACUUAGUGAAAUUUUUACAACCAGGAUAUACUUCUUGUUGCGCAUCAUGUACUAAUUUGUAAAACCUAGUUGCGUCCUCAUCAAGAUCUUCACUAUCGUCAUCAUAGAUAUCAUCAAACUCACCGUUACUAAAUUGCUUUUCAAUAAAAGUAUCCUCUAAGAGCCCAUCCAAGUCAUCGUGCAAGUUAUAUUUUUCAUGGUUUUUAUCAUAGGGUUUUCUUGAAGAUAGUCCCUCUCCAUGAAAAAUCCAUUUCUUAUAACUUGCAUCAAAUCCGUCACAAAACAAAUGCUCAAACACAUCCUCUCGAUUACCCCAACUACAAUUCUUACAGUUCUUACAUGGACACAAUAUUUCAUUCCCUUCAGCUACAGUACGAAAUGCAAAAUCGAGAAAAUUAUGCAAGCCAUACAAGUACCUUAUUGAAGAUCUCUUCUCAUGUAACCAGCUCUUAUCCAUCCUUAUAGAUGCUCUCUGCCUCUGCAUUGUAGUCAUAUAUAAAGAUCGUUUGUUAGUAACAAAGCUUAACACCAUAAACUAAAUCUAGAACAAUUCAUCACUAUAUCUAAAACUAUGUCAUUCUCUGCCUCAUCAAACAAAUCUUAAAAUGGCAAUUCAUUGAAGCAUUUUAUCAAACAGAAAACAUACAAGAACUCAAAAUUCCAUUGGAUAUUCUGAAACACUAAAAAUUUCGUUGAAGCAUUUUAUCAAACAGAAAACAUACAAGUUAAUUUCGAUUCAUAACUCAAAAAAUUGAGUUAAAUUGCAAUUCAUAACAGAAACACAGCAUGGAUCGACGAUAAUUUUGAUGAGAUCUAAACGAAAUCGAAAGCGCGGAAGCAGAAACGAAGGCGAAUAACAGAAGAAAAUAUGAGAAAUGUUACCUUAGAAAGAAAGAGUGAAGCUCGAUGGAUGAAUUGUGUAGCUCGAUGGUGAGAUUCGACGAUUCGACGGUGAGAUUCGACGGUGAGAGUUCGACGAUGAAGUGAUGAGUUUAACAGUGAAGAGAGGUGGAUUUGACGGUGAAGCUCAAUUGAGUUUGGCGGUGGAGAGAGAAUCCACGACGGUGGAGCGCGAUGGUGGGUUCGGCGGUGAAGCAAGAUGGUGAAGAGAGAACGAUGAAAAGUGUGACAUUUUUUUUAAGCAUAAAAUGAAAUAUAAGUGUGACAUUUUUUUGAGAGAUAUAUAAGUGUGACAUGUAAUCAAAAAUUGAAAUAAUGUAUUAAUAUAUUAAUUAAAAAUAGUGUUAAGUGGGUUCAUUGUGUGUUUUUCCCUCACAGUAUAGAAAAUAGUGUUACGUUAGUAACAUUUCUUUAAAAAUGUUCCUAAAAAUGGUUAAACAGUAACAAUUAUUUUCUUUGUUGCACGCUUGUGUUGCUAAAUGUCAAGUGUGUAGUAGUGUUCUGCCGAUGACAUUUAAUACCCUAUCCUCAUUUCUAUGUUUCCAAUAUGAUUGUUAUUCUUCUCAUGCACAUAUUAUUCUACUCUCUUUCCCAUGCUCAUGUAUACAUGUGUUAUAUAGGAUCUUCCCGAAUCAGUCUUAUAGGAUCUUUCCACCACUUCUUCUUCCCAAGGUACCUCCAACCAUUCAAUUUCCACAUUUUUUGUUUUUCCAACAUACUAAUUUAAUUAAGGAUACAAACCCGAUUGAGAGCAAUUUUCUCACACAUUAAUCCUUUCAAUUCCUUUGUCUGCUGCAAACUUUCUUCUGAAUAAGAAUGACACUAAUUCUCCAGUUCACAUUAAUCCUUUCUUUUCUCUUCAAUGCGUUGUAUGCCUCACUUCACUUUCAUCUUUGGAAGUUUGCAUCUGUUAUGAAAAUGAAAAUAAUGUUUUGUCUUCUUCCAUGUAUCAGGUCAACGACCUCUCCUCUUUACCAUCUUGAUCCAACAAGUUUUUAUUACAUGAUUUUAUUCUUAUUUUGUUUGCAUCCUUCAACUACUACGUUUGUUCUAACCUCUUGCAAUUUUCACAGUUUUUCAGUUGAGUAAAUAACUAUAAACAUUGGUUGUUCAUCUUUAUUUAUUGCAGAAUUGUUGACAAGUUUUAGGUUAUUUUCCUUCAUGGAGUAUCAUUUUCGGAGGGAUGCAUGUGUUUAUUUAUUGGCUGCAGAGAUACGGCAUUGAAGAAACAUAAUGCUAAAUAGAGCGGAAAAAAAAAAUCACUACGUCUUCACGAAUUUCUCUCUCUCCCACAAUCUAACGUGUCUUCUAGAAAACAAAGGGCAAGACCAUUCUCACCGGUGAUGAAUCCAUAGUUGCCGCUUCCAUGGUUGUCCUUAACAUCGUCGUAAUGGAAGAAACCACCGAAAUAAAUCUCCAGCUUCAUGUUUCACUUUCUCAAUUGGAUAGCACCACAAUACUACAAAUGACAAAAAUCUGAAAAAGUUUCAUUUUUCAGGAGGAGAUCAAACAACCCCCUCAACCUCAUUAUCAUUGUUUUCAUCGUAGUAGGUGUAUUUUGGAAGCAUGUCGAUGAUUUCGGAGCUCGAAUGUGAGUUGAAGGACUCGAUUUAAGCAUCGUUGAAUCGUUUCCGGCACUGAAUGAGUUCUUAAAAUUGGUUAGGUCUCUUUUCCACUCAAACUCAAUGCAGAAUGAAACUAAAUUGUUAUCGGAUAAAAGCAAGUGAGUUUGAAAAGCUUCAUUUUGUUCAUCAAGGUUUUGUAGAUCACUUUGUAAACAUUUGUUUGGGAAAGCUCUGAGCAUUGAAACAAAGAAAACCACGUCAUGCACUUUUGGUUUGGUGAGGUAGCUUACAAGAAUAUGAGAAUAAUUCUCAAAUUUUUAUUCAAUCAACAAUAUAUAAAUAUAUAUAUAUAUAUAUAUAUAUAUAUGUUUAUAGCCUUGUGUGUUUGAAUAAUUUGUGGUUGUUUGAUGGCCAAAAGAGGCAAGCAACAUUGUAGAUGUUGGUGUUGAACAGAUGAAUUAGGCAACAUAUAAAACUUUUUCUCGAUAGUUUAGCUUCAUCAUGUCUUCACUACAUCGUUGAAGGAUAUUUUUUAAUUUUGCUCAAGAUAGGAAAUUGGUUAUAUGUAGAUAAUGCGUUGUAAAUUAACGAAACCAUGUAAAAAGAAUACAUAAGGUUAUUGGCAUUUGUAGCAUACUAUAUUUCUUAAUGCCAUGUUGCCUCAUAUUUUAUUUUACCGAGGAAGCAAAUUUAGAUGGACAUCAACUAUAAGACCUAUAUCAAUUUAUGGAUUUGUAUGUCUUCUAAUAUCACAGCUAAUUUGUGAAGUUGAAAUGUCAAUCAUUGCCAACUAUCAGCUUUAAUUAGUG
rnacentral:lncRNA from 1 species